AUGGUGGUCAUUGACAAGUUUACAAAAUAUGGCCAUUUUAUUCCUGUCAAACACGCAUACACUACCCAAAAAAUUGCUGAUCUCUUCUUGGACAAUAUCUACAAGCUUCAUGGCAUGCCUCUCUAUAUAGUGUCUGACAGGGAUCCAAUGUUCACAAGGAAAUUUUGGCAAUCUCUGGUAAAGAGGACAUGA
rnacentral:rRNA from 1 species